UUGUCACAAACGUUUUGCAUUUGUCAUGCUGUAUACUUCGCUAUAUCAAACAGUUCAGCUUUUAUAUGUCAUUAACAAUUUUUACUACUUUGUUUUUCGUUCCUAAGGUACUUGAUUUAGCACAUGUGCUCACAAAUCGAGCUCCUCUGUGACUCAUGAGCUUCUGAGUUCCUAAAGGCCUGGUCAACAUGGACAAAAGAGCUGGAGAAGAUGUUGGAAAUGCUGUAUAUUGUUCCACUGAAUGUUGUAUUAUGGAAGCAGACUCCACGGGGAGCAGAGACCCCAUCGAUCAGUUAUUUCCCCACAGCUUUCCUGUUAGUCACAUGCUUUGCUGGGAAAUAAACCUCCAAAUCUCACAAUGCUCCGCUGCUACCUGGCCCGUACAAGUCCUUCUUGUUCUCACAGAAGAAUGCUGUUGUCCCAUCAGAUUAAGCAGAAGAGAAGCGGCAUAGUAGCCUGUCCCGUCCCUCUCUGGCAGCCGGCAGACAAGAUUAUGUAAUGCUGGUCCCUCAAACGAUGUGGCAAUUGCCAAACACAUGGCAUAUGGUCUAUCAAAAGGCUGAUUUUAAGAUUUCCUGUUUAGAUGCACUCGCUCUAAACUUCUCAAGAUGUUGAUGCAAUGAAAAAAAAAAAAAGUGGCUUUCGAACAUUGAUUUUGGUUGAAUCCGCUACCAUAUGGUUUAAUGUGGCUUUCUUCUGGACAGAGGCCAUCCGGGAAAACAUUGGCAUCACUUUUAUCUCACUCUCUCUUUCUUCUUCAAUAACAGCCAACACAUAGCAGCAGAUUAGAGGCCCUCAUAGUCCUCCCAACCCCCGGCACAUAACAAUGGUGUUAGCUGGGGCCAUACAGCUGGUCCGGUCCU